CGCACCAACUGGAGAGAGAAUUUUUAAAAAAAGUUUCAGGAUUAAAAUGCCUCAAAGGUCGUUUUCGGUUGAUGCAAGCAGAAUGGCUGACUUCCUGUUAAGAGUUUGGGGCACGGACAAGUUCUCAAGAUUUUUGGACUUCCAUUUCCGGGUCGAACAGGCCCAGCUCGCCAAAGUAGAGCCGGUGGACCACGAAGGAGCAGCCUAUCAUGGCGGGACUCCUGUCACAUGACCACAGAAACUGGCGACUGGCGUCUGUUGGAGGGACGGCACACAAAAGGUCGUUGGGAGGCCUCACCAGAAGGGCGUGAACUCCACGUGGGCGUCGAAGAAUCCCGUCACCUCGGCGGUGGCCGCCUUCCAGCCUUCGAU